rnacentral:rRNA from 1 species
GACGAACGCUGGCGGCGUGCUUAACACAUGCAAGUCGAACGGAAAGGCCCUGCGUUUGUGGGGUGCUCGAGUGGCGAACGGGUGAGUAACACGUGAGUAACCUGCCCUUGACUUUGGGAGAACUUCAGGAAACUGGGGCUAAUACCGCAUAGGAUCUCUUGCUGCAUGUUGUGGGUUGGUAAGUUUCGGCUGUUGGGGAUGGACUCGCGGGUUAUCAGCUUGUUGGUGGGGUAGUGGCUUACCAAGGCUUUGACGGGUAGCCGGCCUGGGAGGGUGACCGGCCACCUUGGGACUGAGAUAGGGCCCAGCAUCCUACGGGAGGCAGCAGUGGGGAAUAUUGCACAAUGGGCGGACGCCUGAUGUAGCAACGCCGCGUGCGGGAUGACGGCCUUCGGGUUGUAAACCGAUUUCGCAUGUGACGAAGCGUGAGUGACGGUACUGGGUAAAGAAGCACCGGCUAACUACGUG